rnacentral:rRNA from 1 species
AUGAGGUCCACAACCACAUGCUCCUACCUGCUGGGAGGGCUCACAACAUUCGCCACCGUGUAUUCUUCCAUGCCCCCAUGGUCCGUACAUUCACCUCAUCCUCCAACUCUACAGAGCACAUGCAGACCUCACCAUGGGUCGCGCGGUCAAGGCCUAGCUCGCGGCCUCGACACUGGCCAACACGGACACGAAGUGCCGCCGACUGGGCACGGUGUUCGACAAUAUGCCCAUGUGAGACUGUGUUGUAUGGAUUGGAAUACACUUGUUGUAGUGUACACGAGGAACGAGCUCGCGGGGGUGGCUAUGCCGAUGGUGGUUCGGAUUUUGAUGUUUCUUCAACUCAGCAAGGGAGGGGCAUUUUUUGAUCCAUGGGUGCGGCUGACAUGGUUUUGGCAAGGCGCUUGCAAGUUGCACAAGAAUGUGGAAUUUGCAGAAGAAUCAAUAGAGAUGAUCUGUGACCUAUGUCAUGCUUGUGUCCAUGCUGCCCGCCUGCGCUCACGCCCAAGCGUCGCGACCUACCGCGAGGUGCACGCUUUUGCAGUCUGUGGUGGCAUUGCUGAGCUCGUGAAUGUCUCCAUGGUGAUCUUUGUCGUGUACUGCAAGUGGAGGAUAGUGUUUGAUCGGAUGCUAGGAAAGAACACUGGGUCCUGGAAUGGGGCAGUUGCUCAAUACCCACAAUGA